GAUGAACGCUAGCGGCAGGCUUAACACAUGCAAGUCGAGGGGUAUAAGGAGCUUGCUCCUUAGAGACCGGCGCACGGGUGCGUAACGCGUAUGCAAUCUACCUUUCACAGGGGAUAGCCCGGAGAAAUCCGGAUUAAUACCCCAUAGUAUAUUGAUGUGGCAUCACAUUAUUAUUAAAGAUUUAUCGGUGAGAGAUGAGCAUGCGUCCCAUUAGCUAGNGGUGUGGUAACGGCACACCAAGGCAACGAUGGGUA
rnacentral:rRNA from 1 species